rnacentral:lncRNA from 1 species
GUGUUUGUACUGAUGCAAGAAAAAUAAUGCAUUUUAUAUACAAUAAAUUAUAUUUAAAUAUUGUGGCACCUUGGCUAAUCCACAUAAUCUACCUGGAAUAAAUUUUAUAUUUAAUCUGUUGUUUAAAAUUUGGACAAAUUAUGUAUCUUAUAAGAUGUACAUUUUUCGGGAGACGUUUUAGACUAAUAUUCCAUCUUUCGCAAUUUUUGGCAUCCACGUUUUUACUGUUUUUAGAAAUAAUUUUAUUAUAACUACAUAUGGCUGUGUUUUACAUCUCAGUUAUCAAUCAUAGCUUACUAAUUGUGAAAAUUAGAUGAUUGGAUUAUUUGUAAGUAAUUUGAAACGUAACAUGUUUUGAAACGAGUCGGCUGUUUUUCUUCAGUUUUCGAAAGUAUGUAGCCUCUUACCAGCAUGAGUUAACACGAUAUUGACGUACUGCAGACUUGUUAAUAUUCAGUAUUGCUUUGAGUUUAUAUCUGAAAUAUAUAAUAUACAAUACAAUAGAAGUCCAAGUGAAAGUUGUCAACUUCAUUGAAACAAACAUAAUGGUAACUGUGAAGUAGAAGGAUGAAUGGAAAUUUAAUGUAAUGAAUCGUACGCACCACGUAGCCGUAUUUUCUAUUUUUAUUAUAAUUCAAUAAGUAUUAUAGUUAUAAUUAUUACUGUAUAAUCUCAAAAUAUUUGUUUUUAUAUAAAAGUCUUGAACUAACUGACAUUUUCAGUCAAUCUAAAAGAGAGUUCGGAAAGUCAUCUCUAAAACAAUGCUUUCCAAAAUUUUCUAUAUAAUUUUCUCAUCUUCUGUUUUGGGAGAAGAAAAUAGGCAAAAACUUGCAAAAAUUACUCGAAUAAAUACAGUGAGACCCAUAUCUGCGGGGUAUAUAUUCCAAACUUCUCGCGAUAGUAACGAACAUUAUACAUGCUGUACAUACCUAUGAUAAAGUUUAAUUUAUAAAUCAGGCACAAUAAAACAUUAACAACAAUAACUAAUAGAG